rnacentral:rRNA from 1 species
GACGAACGCUGGCGGCGUGCUUAAUACAUGCAAGUAGAACGCAGUUGCGAACGGGUGAGUAACGCGUCUGUAACUGCCUCAUAGCGGGGGAUAACUAUUGGAAACGAUAGCUAAUACCGCAUACUGUGAGAUGGACCUGCGUUGUAUUAGCUAGUUGGUGAGGUAAAGGCUCACCAAGGCGACGAUACAUAGCCGACCUGAGAGGGUGAUCGGCCAAAAUGGGACUGGGAAACGGCCCCGACUCCGACGGGAGGCAGCAGGAGGGAAUCUGCGGAAAUGGACGGAAGUCUGACCGAGCAACGCCGGGUGAGUGAAGAAGGUUUUCGGUGUGUAAAGGUCUGUGGUUAGAGAAACGGUAACUAACCAGAAGGGGACGGCUAACGACGUGCCAGCAGCCGCGGUAAUAC